CAGUAGCCGCGGUAAUACGUAGAGUGCAAGCGUUAAUCGGAAUUACUGGGCGUAAAGCGUGCGCAGGCGGUGAUGUAAGACAGUUGUGAAAUCCCCGGGCUCAACCUGGGAACUGCAUCUGUGACUGCAUCGCUGGAGUGCGGCAGAGGGGGAUGGAAUUCCGCGUGUAGCAGUGAAAUGCGUAGAUAUGCGGAGGAACACCGAUGGCGAAGGCAAUCCCCUGGGCCUGCACUGACGCUCAUGCACGAAAGCAUGGGGAGCAAACAGGAUUAGAUACCCCGGUAGUCCCUGUCUCUUAUAC
rnacentral:rRNA from 1 species